AACCUCAGUACAUUCUCCUAACAAACAGUGUUAGAAAUGCAUUCGGUUUGGUACAUUUGAAAACAUAACUUAAGCCCCCUUAUGUAGGCAAGCCUCCAAGCUACUAUUCAAUAUUUUUCCAAUGUUGGAUAAUGACCUUCUCAUUUUUAAGCAAAAUCCAACAUAAAUUGUUCUCAGUAUUUAAAUGCUUCAUCCCUCCUUGAGAACUAAGACUAUCCACUUUCAGAUGAUCAUCUUUGUCAAAAGAUUCUUCGACCAGAACCAGAAUUUUUUCUCGUUCAAGUAUUGUUUGUGAGGUCUCUGACUCUUGCAAUGCUUCUGAACUAUUGGGAGACCCUUUAUUUGCGGAAAAGGGAUGCUGAUGUUCGCCAUAUUCCUGUUUAUUGAUUGUGAGGUCUCUGACUCUUGCAAUGCUUCUGAACUAUUGGGAGACCCUUUAUUCGCGGAAAAGGGAUGCGUAUGUUCACCAUUUUCCUGUUGGUCAGAAUUC
rnacentral:lncRNA from 1 species